ensembl:lncRNA
AUGUAUCAAUGUUUUUCAGCUGUAGCGAACAUAAACACUACCUAUACUACUGUCACACCAAUGAAAACCUCAACAGCAGCCACUACAACAAUGGACUUUACUGAUAUCUGGAACAACAGCAUUUCCUAUACUACUAUCUUGAUAGAAACAACCUCAAAUAUAAAAACCACAUUAAUAGAAACAACAAUCUUGGCCACUGAUAAUGCAGAAAGUACUACCACAGAGCCCGCAACAACAAACCGCAGCACCAUAACUCCAGAAAGUUCCACAAAGGAGACCACAACAAUAAGCAGCAGCACCACAACUCCCGAAAUAUCACCAACACAGACUACAACAACAGAUAGCACCUAUACUGGCACCAUAACAACAGAAAGUACUACCACAGGCACCACAACCGAUAUCACAACAACAGACAGCACUACCAACAGAGAAAGUACAACCUCUGGCAUGACCACUCCAGGAAGUACUACCACAGAGACCACAACAUCAGAAAGCACAACUACUAUCACCACAACUCCAGUCAGUGCAGCAACAGAGACCGCAAUGGCAGAAAGUAAGACCAAUGGUGCCACUACUGCAGAAAGUAUUGCCUCAGAGACCACAACAACAAGCAUCACCACCACACAAGAAAGCACAACAACCGAGACCACAACAUCAGAAUCCCCUCGUACUACAACUUCAAAAAUUACAACAACAGAGACCACAACACCAGAAAGCAUAACAACUAAGUCCACAGAAAUAGAAAGUACAACUGCAGGCACAACAAUGGAAACCACAACAAUAAAAAGUACCACAACAGGCACCACAGCUGAGAUCACAACAACAGAAGGGACCACCACUCCAGACAGUACUACCACAGAGACCACAACAACAGAAAGCACCACCACCAGUACCACAACUCCAGAAAAUACCACAAUGAUAGAAAGUACAACCACUGGCACCACCACCCCAGAAAGUACAAUAACAGAGAGCACAGCAACAGAAAGUAGCACCACAACUGUGAUCCCACCAACAGAAGCCACAACCACUCCAGAAAAUACUACCACAGAGAUUACAACAACAGAAAGCACCACGAUCGAUACCACAACUCCAGAAAGCACCACAAUGACAGAAAGUACAACUGCUGGCACAACAACUUCAGAAAGUACAACACCAGAGACCACAACAAGAGAAAGUACCACCCCCGGGACAACAACCGAGACCACAACAACAGAAAGUACCACCACAGUCACCACAACUGAGAUCACAACAACAGAAGGAGCCACCACUCCGGAAAGUACUACCACAGAGACCACAACAACAGAAAGCACCAUCACCGGUACCACAACUCCAGAAAGCCCCACAAUGACAGAAAGUACAACCACUGGUACCACCACUACAGAGAGUACACCAAUGGAAACCACAACAACAGAAAGUACUACCACCGGCACACCAACCAAGGCCAUAACAAUAGAAAGUACCACCAAUGGAACCACAACAGAGAUCACUACAACAGAAGGCACUACCAAUCCAGAAAAUAUUACCACAGAGACCACAACAACAGAAAGUACCACCAUCGGUACCACAACUCUAGAAAGCACCACAAUGAUAGAAAUUACAACCACUGGCACCACCACUCCAGAAAGUACAACAACGGAGACCACAAAAACAGAAAGCACCACUAUUGCUACCACAACUCCUGAAAGCACCACAAUGUUAGAAAAUACAACCACAGGCACAACCGUUUCAGAAACUACAACAACACAGACCACAAUAACAGAAAGUACCACCACAACUGAGAUCACAACAACAGAAGGCACCACCACUACAGAAAGUACAGCAAUGGAGAUCACAACAACAGAAAGCACCACCACUGGUACCACAACACCCGAAAGCACCACAAUGACAGAACGUACAACCACUGGCACCACAACAACAGAAAGCACCACCACUGGUUUCACAACUCCAGAAAGCACCGCAAUGACAGAAAGUACAACCAGUGGCACCACCACUUCAGAAAGUACAACAACAGAGACCACAACAACAGAAAGCACAACCCCUGAAAUUACAACUUCAGAAAGUACAACAAUGGAAACCACAACUACAGAAAGCACCACAACAGACACUACAAAAACAGAAAGCACCACCACAGAUACCACAACACCAGAAAGCACAACAACCGAGACCACAACAAC